rnacentral:rRNA from 1 species
CGCAAUGGGCGAAAGCCUGACGGAGCGACGCCGCGUGAUUGAUGAAGUCCCUUUGGGACGUAAAGAUCUUUUGUAGGGGAAGAAGUUUAUUGACUGUACCCUAAAAAUAAAAGGCUCCUAAUCUCGUGCCAGCAGGAGCGGUAAUACGAGAGCCUCGAGCGUUAUCCGGAAUUAUUGGGCGUAAAGGGUGUGUAGGUUGUUCUAUUAGUCUUUUGUUAAAUCCUUGAGCUUAACUUAAAAAUCGCAAAAGAUACGGUAAAACUAGAAAGUGCGAGAGGUGUACGGAACUUAUGGUGUAGGGGUAAAAUCCGUUGAUAUCAUAGGGAACACCAAAAGCGAAAGCAGUACACUGGCGCAGGUUUGACACUGAAACACGAAAGCGU